rnacentral:rRNA from 1 species
GAUGAACGCUGGCGGCGUGCCUAAUACAUGCAAGUCGAGCGAACAGACGAGGAGCUUGCUCCUCUGACGUUAGCGGCGGACGGGUGAGUAACACGUGGAUAACCUACCUAUAAGACUGGGAUAACUUCGGGAAACCGGAGCUAAUACCGGAUAAUAUAUUGAACCGCAUGGUUCAAUAGUGAAAGACGGUUUUGCUGUCACUUAUAGAUGGAUCCGCGCCGCAUUAGCUAGUUGGUAAGGUAACGGCUUACCAAGGCAACGAUGCGUAGCCGACCUGAGAGGGGGGUCGGCCACACUGGAACUGAGACACGGUCCAGACUCCUACGGGAGGCAGCAGUAGGGAAUCUUCCGCAAUGGGCGAAAGCUUGACGGAGCAACGCCGCGCGAGUGAUGAAGGUCUUCGGAUCGUAAAACUCUGUUAUUAGGGAAGAACAAAUGUGUAAGUAACUAUGCACGUCUUGACGGUACCUAAUCAGAAAGCCACGGCUAACUACGUG